rnacentral:rRNA from 1 species
GACAGAGGAUGCAAGCGUUAUCCGGAAUGAUUGGGCGUAAAGCGCACGUAGGCGGCUUUGUAAGUAAGAGGUGAAAGCCCAGAGCUCAACUCUGGAAUUGCCUUUUAGACUGCAUCGCUUGAAUCAUGGAGAGGUCAGUGGAAUUCCGAGUGUAGAGGUGAAAUUCGUAGAUAUUCGGAAGAACACCAGUGGCGAAGGCGGCUGACUGGACAUGUAUUGACGCUGAGGUGCGAAAGCGUGGGGAGCAAACAGG